UACGUAGGGGGCAAGCGUUGUCCGGAUUUACUGGGCGUAAAGAGCGUGUAGGCGGCCAAACAGGUCCGUUGUGAAAACUGGAGGCUCAACCUCCAGACGUCGACGGAAACCGUGUGGCUAGAGUCCGGAAGAGGAGAGUGGAAUUCCUGGUGUAGCGGUGAAAUGCGCAGAUAUCAGGAAGAACACCAAUGGUGAAGGCAGCUCUCUGGGACGGUACUGACGCUGAGACGCGAAAGCGUGGGGAGCGAACAGG
rnacentral:rRNA from 1 species